rnacentral:snoRNA from 1 species
AUGCAUCCUUAGAAAACCCCCCAGCUGCUUCUGUAGCUUCUGGGACAAGAAAGGGUGCUAGAUCAACGUUAGAACUAUCCAAAGCUGAGAACAGAGUUUCUGUGGUUCUCAGCUAUUUCACCUCUAAGACAU